GAUGAACGCUGGCGGCGUGCCUAAUACAUGCAAGUCGAGCGAACGGACGAGAAGCUUGCUUCUCUGAUGUUAGCGGCGGACGGGUGAGUAACACGUGGAUAACCUACCUAUAAGACUGGGAUAACUUCGGGAAACCGGAGCUAAUACCGGAUAAUAUUUUGAACCGCAUGGUUCAAAAGUGAAAGACGGUCUUGCUGUCACUUAUAGACGGAUCCGCGCUGCAUUAGCUAGUUGGUAAGGUAACGGCUUACCAAGGCAACGAUGCAUAGCCGACCUGAGAGGGUGAUCGGCCACACUGGAACUGAGACACGGUCCAGACUCCUACGGGAGGCAGCAGUAGGGAAUCUUCCGCAAUGGGCGAAAGCCUGACGGAGCAACGCCGCGUGAGUGAUGAAGGUCUUCGGAUCGUAAAACUCUGUUAUUAGGGAAGAACAUAUGUGUAAGUAGCUGUGCACAUCUUGACGGUACCUAAUCAGAAAGCCACGGCUAACUACGUG
rnacentral:rRNA from 1 species